rnacentral:tRNA from 1 species
CACUGAGAAGCUGUUAUAUAUCAACAGCCUUUUAAGCUGUAGGCAGGUGAUUUAACCCACCCUUAGUGA